ACGAGUCGUGCUCUCGCUCGCUGGGAAGUUUAAUUAUCCCCUUCGGUACAUCCUGCUGGUCGUUGAUACUGACGAACAAUCGUGCGCGCGCGCGGACGCACGCAUAUACACGAUGAACGGAAUGGAGACGCGUCGAUGGGCGAGAGUUACGAAGAAGGGACGGGGGCUAGAUGGAUGGAGAAGUUGUUUUAGCCGAAAUCUGCCACGGCAGCCUACAACGUUUACCCUUUUAGUGGUGGCGACCCCCGCUGCCACUCGGCUCGCUCGCCAUUCUUCGCCCGCUGCUUCCAACCACCGUCUCUGCAACUACCCGGCUCCGCCGUUUUACCGUGUAUAUGGGGUGUUUCUUAAUGCUUCAUCGACCGAUGCAUUUUUGGUCAGUGCCUUUUUUUUUGUAUUAGAUACACUUGGUUGUCAGAUAUCUAACAAUUUUCUAAAAAUAACCUAUAUUAAAAGCAAAUCUGUGACGAUAUUCGAACGAACUAAUAAAGCACAUUUGCGGCCACAUUCAGGAAAAGCAUCUCGACUAUCGAUUAGUGGGCUAAACCGUAAAGAAAAUACUAUAUCUCGAUAUCAAAUUAUAAUGGCUGUAACAAAGAGAAAUCCUCGUGCCAUUAUCAUUCUCAUCUCGCCAAUCUUACAUACGAGUUCCCAUAUAUUGCGGACACCCUGUAGAGAGGCACGCAAAGUACGCUAUGACCCGAAACGGAAGGUGCAGGGGGUAUAGGUACGGCGAAAGGAAAAUUCGCGACAGGGCCUUUGAUGUCGCUUAAACAGAAAACGUCGGCCCCUGCUGUUCCACAGCUUAGAUUCUUCCUUCCUUCUUUCCUUCUUUUCUUCCUUCCUUCCUUCCUUCCUUCCUUCCUUCCUUCCUUCCUUCCUUUCUUCCUUCUUUCCUUCUUCCCUUUUUUCUUUCAGCCAGCUAGCUUCUUACGGUCGUCUGCGCUCACGGCACGUUGGAUGUCUUUGAAUCUCCCUCUUCCUCUCUUUCCUCUCUCCUUAUCGCCGCGCAUCUCCUUAGUCCUUUAGUUCUGGCCGCUUUGAGAGGCCGCCGCGACUACUGGCAGCCCCGCGACGAUGAAGAUAUCGUCCUUCUGCCAUAAGCACUCAUUUGUUCUCCUUAUCUGCUCGGUAGGCACUUCUCCGCCUUUGGGACAUCCGGACAAGCGCGCGAGCUUUCCUUGUUUACCAUACCGGUGGAAUUUCCGUCCGUAUACGCUAUGUGUACUUACAUCGCUUACACUUACACGAUCGCGACUGUGCGCCAUCUUGAGCGCACGUGAGCGGCCGCGGAAGCGGAGUGGGGGAAGGGGUUCAUUCGCGAAUACCCGAGUUUUAUCGAGCACGAACGACGAACAGAUCGAGGAACGAUAGCACGCGUUUGAAGACGACAAGCGGUGGGCCGCUUUGACGGCGCGUUUCUUGCAUUUCGAACCCGCCUAGGCUGUGCCCUCCCGCUGCGGGCAUUAUACGAAAUUUCUGCUUGUUUUGCGAGAAACCAGCCGACUGCCCGUGGCGUUUGUGAUUUUAACUCAUACCCCACUUCCUUCGUUGAACUACCGUUAACUCGCCCUUUGUCAGAGAACGUUUGCACAGCGAAAUUCGCAGAGCAUAGGCGGGCCGCGUUUCCAUGCACUUCAUUUCGGAUUUUCUAACCUCGUCGUCGUUGAUGAUUACACACUUUCACGGCAGUCACGAAAUGAAACAUCGAAGGAUACCGGAACAAAGAACACGACUUGGUGCGGACUAGAUCGUAAACGCGUACGUCCAUCGAGAAAUCGAUACGUAUACCUAUGGUAGAGGAGUGUGUGCGAGUGUGUGAGAGCGUUGAUUCCCUGGAUUUAGGUAAACUGAUCCUCAAAUGUAUAUGUCGGCGUCGCUCCUGUAAUACAGCGAAGUUGGAUGAAUUGUAACCGUUCAAUUACUCUAUGAUGAAUUACAACACGUAAGAUCGAUACCUACUAUCGGUUUACCCGGUCGUCGAACAAGUACAGUCGCCGGUAUAACGUGGUCCGAGUAUGGUUCGCACGUAUUAGUUUCGUGUGUAUGUGGAAUUUAUUGGAAGAAAAUGAAAACAUAUGAAAAAUGAAAGUUCGUAUAUUGGACCUUUUAUUUUUACGACUCAUAGUUGAUGAUAAAUGGAGGAAAGUGCGAGAGAUAUUUUGGCGUAAUAUAGCGGAAAAAAAGAAUUAGACGCGUAUGUGUAUUCUUAAGCUAAUGUUUUAUAACAGGGAUUAAUUGUCGAGGACUUUUGAAUUCGUAAAAUUUACCUUUUUAAUAAUACAGCUAUCUCCUUUCUGUAGCUUUUAGAAAUUCCUUUACUUUUCCUACAUUUUCCUAUAUUUUCAUUCUGUAACGUCGCAGACGCUUUUAAUCCUUAAUACGAGAACACGAUGGAAUGAAAAGGCAGAAGGAGGCAUCUGCAUCCUUUAUGACGCUUCCUGUAACCAUUACAACACGAAAACGGCAGAAUUAAAAGAGAAGGUAGCGCCGUUAACAUGAAAAGGAUUAACCUGUUCCAGCAUUUAAGAGAAACGUUUUUUCCACGUGGUAGAGAUAUAAAUAUAGCUUAUAAUAAUUCAUUUUCAUAACGAGAAUAAUGAUAAAGGUACGUAUAAAUUUUACUAUUCAAAUUAGAAACGAGAAGAAUUUGAUUAUAUUUCUAACUGAAACGAACAGAAAUCUUCGGUAAAAAAAAAAAAAAGAAAUUUGAAUGUAACCAUAAGUAAAAGAUUUUUCACUUAACUUGUACCAUGGUCAUAAACUUUGGCACGUAUCUUUUUAGCAGCACGCGACGGUCACGCGAGAACAAUCGAGAUCCACGAGGCACGAUUUCGCUCGUAAAGCUGGCUCGCGCCUUUUGAAUUUCCCCCGGUGCUCUUAAUUCAAUUUUAAACUAAUUUCCUUAAACCGUUCUAUAUGCAUGGAUAUUGUCCGGCGUCCAAUCUUCUUAAGUUUUUUAAUUCAAUUUCAAACUAAUUUCCUUAAAGGCUUCGACCCUCUUUGGAGAUCCAGGCCCGCGCGACCAGUUACUCGCGAGUCACCGACCGAACGCUUAGUGGUGUCAUUAGCGUUGCAUAAAAGGAAAGCGGACAAGUGGGAAGUAAGGUUAUUUUUAUCGUCACUUACAGCCUUAUCGCCACUACCAGCAGGCCGCGACAACGAUGUGCAUAGCAAUUUCAAAGCGAAAGGAAUACACAUCACUGAUUCAUGGUAUUUCAUCGUGUAAUGAGAAAUAUUAUAAAAUUGCCAAUCGCAAGAGAAGAGAGAAACAGAAAUGCAAAAAUACAUUGCAACGUAACGUAUUCACAAUGAAUAAUGAACUGAUAUGCGUUGGCAAAUAAAUAAAUAUUUCGCCAUGAACACACCAUCGCUAGAUAUGCCAACGUUCCUUUCGUUCGUCACAUGACACGAAACCCGCGCGUCGCUCGCCAGUUUCGCCCGCUGGAACGUAUUAAAUCUCUCGUGACAAUGACGUUUGCAUUUCUGAAGUGCUGACGCGACCCAUACAGGCCGUCGGGCGUGUACUCGAAACAAGGGUACAUCGUUUUCACGACGACGCGCGACGCCGUGUUUUUUUUUUGCCCGCGCUACUCGCUGGCGUAUACGAGCUUGCGAUAUGGGGAACAGAGACACUUGACACCGGCUGUUUGCUCGAACACGCGACAAACAUGAAAAAAUAUAUAUAUGACGAAAACCACCGAUCGCCAGACACGUUAUCAACGGAACAAAUCCAACGGUAACGCGAACUGUCCCAACGAGCAUGACUUUCCACGUUCAAAUUGUCCCGCCAACAGCCUCGAGAUGGUCCAUCUACAAAUACGCUUACUGUGUUUCGUUUAUGAUCAAGAUUCUACGAUAUACUUGCCAAAAGAGAAGUAGAGUAUUUCGUUGAAUAUAUGGCGCGCCCAGGAAAUGGAUAAAUUGAAUCGCUAUAAAGGAACGAAGGAGAAUGAAAGAUAAAGAAAACGACUGAAACGUUUGUAAACGAUGAUUGAAUAAAUGAACGCUUAUAGCCUGUGUAAAGGAGCUGGAUAGUAUCCGUGGCCAAUCUUGAUAAUACAAGAAAACGAUUACUCCAACGUAUUACGUAUAUGCGCCUACAGUUACAACAUGAGAUCGGAAGCAAACGCGCUAACACGAUUUUACUCGCGCGAGCACACGUUGCGUGCCCAACGAUAAGGUUUUCCCAACUUUAUCUCUGGAACGGUGGAUUCGUUCGGGGCGACAGACUGGAGCAGAAUGGAUGAGCCUGCAAACGCAUGGCCAUGGUCAACCCCUGGUCGUAAUAUCGCGCCACAGGGAAUACGAGGGUGGAGAGACUGCACGGACUGAUUUCUCCAGCCAUGCCAGUGAGCACGCCAGUCGAUGUUUAGGAUCUCGGAAUUGUUCCAGCUAGCGGUGGACGUUCGAUGCCCCCCGAGUUCUUGAACCAUUGCAAGCAUUGGAAUGCUUCUGAAUGUUUUAAAUUACGUAGAGGAGGAUGCACGAUCAUUCGGUUUCAGAUAUUCGUAUUGAUAAAGAUUCGUAAUUAAUCGUUGGAUAAUCAGAUUCUUUUGAUGGAUAAACUUAUUCGAAUAAUCUGUUAAACAUCGAAGGCAACAAUCAAGAUACAAAGUAAGAUUCAAUAGUCUGCAUAAAUUUCAAAUAACCUUAUUUUACCAUAAACUUCGAGCACGAUAAAUGAGUUUUGUGGCGUCUCGAGUCUAUCGCUAUCUGUAGAAGGGCGAAUGCGCGUUACAACGCGAAACUAUCUUGCCCUUUUUCCCCACUUUUUCUCGUUAUUUCUUGCCUCGCCGAUUCUCUAGCAGCCAUGAAAUCUGACAGCCGUAGGCCGUAAACGUGCAACGACUGCUUAUUAAAGGGAACUGGCUCGCUUUAUUUCGCGAAGGGAAACAAGAGACAGAGUAAAUAUGUCGGCUGGAUGUGUGUCCACGUUGUCGCGGAAACGCAGCGGGCGUCCUUUGAGUGCCUCUUACGGACGGUGCCUGUUGACGCCUCGUUUGCUCUGUGAUUGAACGGCCCGCUUCGUUUGCUCAAACGGCGUUCGCGUGCCCGUAAUUUAUAGAAACGGAUGUUUUUAUUAAUUUCCUGUUGCGUCUAGUAAUUGGUAACGUUCGAACGGUAUAUAAGUAUCCCGGUAUCUGACGGCUAGAUAUUACAAAUAUAAUUAUCUACGCGGCGCAAAUAUAAUUACCUCCAAAUUAUAUUAU